UACGGGGGGGGGUAAGCGUUGUUCGGAAUUACUGGGCGUAAAGAGCUCGUAGGCGGCUUGUCACGUCGGGUGUGAAAGCCCGGGGCUUAACCCCGGGUCUGCAUUCGAUACGGGCUAGCUAGAGUGUGGUAGGGGGAGAUCGGAAUUCCUGGUGUAGCGGUGAAAUGCGCAGAUAUCAGGAGGAACACCGGUGGCGAAGGCGGAUCUCUGGGCCAUUACUGACGCUGAGGAGCGAAAGCGUGGGGAGCGAACAGG
rnacentral:rRNA from 1 species